UACGUAGGUGGCAAGCGUUGUUCGGAAUUAUUGGGCGUAAAGGGCGCGUAGGCGGUUUGUUAAGUCGGUCGUGAAAGCCCGGGGCUCAACCCCGGAGGGUCGACCGAUACUGGCAGACUAGAGUACAGAAGAGGUAACUGGAAUUCCUGGUGUAGCGGUGGAAUGCGUAGAGAUGUGGAGGAACACCGAUGGCGAAGGCAGCCCCCUGGGUCAACACUGGACGCUCAUGCACGAAAGCGUGGGGAGC
rnacentral:rRNA from 1 species